rnacentral:rRNA from 1 species
GACAGAGGUGGCAAGCGUUGUUCGGAAUUACUGGGCUUAAAGGGCGCGUAGGCGGUAUGGCAAGUCUGAAGUGGAAUCCUGCGGCUUAACCGUAGAACUGCUUUGGAAACUGCCGUACUUGAGUCAGCGAGGGGAGGGCGGAAUUCCUGGUGUAGCAGUGAAAUGCGUAGAUAUCAGGAGGAAGGCCGGUGGCGAAGGCGGCCCUCUGGCGCUAGACUGACGCUGAGGCGCGAAAGCGUGGGGAGCAAAC